CAUCACUCCUCUCAAAGCACGUGGGCUCCAGCCCCUCCUCCAGACAGCUCCUGAUGGCAGCCAGGCCACUGACACCAGCUCCAACGAUGGCCACUCGCCUCUUCAUGGGUGCCUGCAGAGAGGUGCAGAGAUCAAUUCCAGCAUCCUUUGGGUGGCUGAGGUGAAAGAUAAAAGAUCUGGAAAGAAGAAAUGAACAUAUAAGGAGAGGGGAGCGCGUCCCAGUCCUGUGGAAGAUGAGGUGUGAUGGAAAUGAAAUACUUAUAAGCUGAAUCCUCUCCCACCUCAAUCCUUACCAACCCCCAGGAACACAAACUGUAGUGACAGUGGGUAGCAAAGGCCUCUAUGGAGGAGUGAGACACCAAUAAACAAGAGACCUGCGGGGUCUCCUGCUGGUGUGCAGCUCAGGACUGAAACUUUGAAGAUUUUUUUUCAAACU
rnacentral:lncRNA from 1 species